GGCAAUGAGAGAAGUCUCAAGAAGGAUCAGACCAAGUUUCUUUCACAUCUAAGACCAUAGGUUGUCAACAAACCCGUUUGAUCUAGAAAGACUUUUUUUUCUUUGGUUUGCAACCGGGGGAGGGGGGGUCACCCUAUAGAUCAUGGCCAAGAUAUUAUGCCAAGAACAGGCACGGCUAAGCAGAGGCCAGAGGAUGUGUGAGCCCAGGGCAGUCAGCUGCUUGGCAUUAAUGGCACAGAUCCCUGCCUAUAAUUGUGUCUCAGGCCUUCUGAUACCGUCACGGCCUUCCCUAGGAUUGAUGUGAUGAACUAAUCCCAAAUCUAUCUUCAAACCACUCCGAGUCUCUAUAAGCAUGGAAAGAGUGUCCACCCCCUUGUAGCUGAAGUGCUCCAUCUCCCUUCCCUGAGUUUCAGGCCACCAUUUCUGUGCCGUGGCAGCCAUUUUUAUUGUUUUGGUUUCCUGGCCUCUUUGGGGAAGUUAAUAUGAAGUGAUGAUGCCCAUACUGCAGUGUGUCAGGCACAGUGUGUGCUGUCUGAUUUAGUCCUCACUGAAUCCUAUAGGGAGAGACAAACAGAGCUCAAGGGAAAGCUAUCCAAGGUCCCAUAGUUUGUGUGAAAUGGACUUGCACUCGAACCGGGGUCAUAGGACUUGGGUGAACGAACUCUGAGCCUCCGAAUUGAGACCUGCAUACAGAGUGGGCCCACAAAUACGCAGAUGGCAGGAGCCUUUCCAAAAAGCCCAGGGGAUAUGCACAGCCAGGGUUUAGGUCAUAUACAGUCUCAUUUGAUCUGCUUGGUAGCCCAGGAUUCCAUUUUCAGAGGAACCUGGUAUUUCUAGAAUGAUCAGAGGUAGCUCAUAAUAGCCUUGUUUAUUUCCAGUUUUGACCAGUUGAGCUAACCUGAUCAGAGGCAGGGACUGGCAUGCCCUGUCUUCCUCAGUAGUAUAAUCAGUUUGGGGCUUUAGCUGGUACCAGACCAGCAACGUCUCUGGGUUGAUCACAAUGACAAUCUUUAGGCCACACCUCUGUGCCAGCUCCAACAGCCCAUCUGCAGUGCCGCUUCUUGGGGGUGCCAUGCUGCAGAGGACCCUGGAGAGCCAGGGGGUCAUAGUGAGUACCCUGCCCUAGUUGUCUGAUUUAUCAGAAGCACUUCCCCGGAAGUAAUUAGAGUAUGUCUACAGACCCUGGCCUAAGCCAGAUCGGGCCUCUGGGAACUUCAUGGGGCACAUCCCUGUGGGCACCCUGAAAAACAUUUCCCCUUCAGUUUUGGAUCUCUCUCUCUUCUCUUUUUGUCCUUCCGUUUUUUUCCUUCCUUGCCUUUUAGUUCAGGCUGUGCGGCUUCUGCCCAGGCGUCUCAGACCUCUCUGGGUAAUGAGGAAGAAUCUCCUUUUCACGCUGUGUCUCUGCCUACCAGCCUCCCCUCUUCCCGAAGCCCAGCUCCUGUCGAUUCCUCCGGUUGCCGAGACCACCAGGUCCAAGUUCCCUGCUCUGGUGCAGAUCUGGGGUAGCCCCACUCUGGGUCUUACCUGAUAGCUUCACACUGAAGACCAGCCAGAGCCAUGGCUGCAUCUUGGCGCUCUUUGAGACACCUGUUCUCCUCAGGGCUCCGUCAACAGAAAGUGCUGUAUGCCCUGGGCCUUCUUUAUCAGUUUUGAGAUCAAAGCCCCAUCAAGAACUGUGAGGAACAGGAAGACCUGUGGAGGUUGGCAGAGGUGAGUUGAAAGAGUGGCUGUCCAAGGAAACUGGAUCCUUGGUGAUCUCUUCGGGGAGAGGGAGGCUGGGGAAGGACUGUGGGGGGAUACAGCACAGAAGAUUUCGAGUGUGUCAACAAGUGCCAGCAACAGCCAAGCCGGCCCUGGAGCCAUGCACACUGCGAGCUUGAGCCUCAGAAGUGGAUGGGGUGACACUGGUGUUAUUCUUUCCACUCCACACCCGCCAGCUAGUUCUUGGUGACCGGGGCAGGAGCUGAGGCAGGAGUUCAAAGAUUCUGGAGAGGAAGGAGGAAAUGGUUCUGAGCUCUGCCCUCCGAUUGUCCCGCUGGCCUCCACCAUACAGGCCUGUUACCUUUGUGCCCAGGAGAACCUGCCAAGGCCCAGAGGUACACAGGGUAAAUAGCCCUAGGAAAACCACAUGGGAGCUGUUCUUAAAAUCAAGGUAAAAUGCACAGAUGACAAAUGGACCAUGCGAGAGGACACAGUAUGUUUGCUGAGGAAUGAAUGGUAUGCCUGCUCCCCGUCUGCCGCUGGGCCAGAAGCCGGUAACUGUUCUUUCUGUUGAAUGUAUUUCUUCCUCACAAAUGGAACUGUUCAACCUAUGUCCUUGGUAAACAGCCUCUUUCAGUUUUGGAGCAGGGGUUUCAGGCCCAGGAUGACUCUCAACUCCUGAUCUUCCUACUUCUACCUAUCUAGGACUUCUUUACCCUUUUCUGCUUGUGAUCCCUUUCCCCUACCCCCAAAUUUUCCAUGUCCCCAGGUAUAGGUCUAUGGAACACCUAUAUAAAACAAUCAUUUACUGGUAACUAACAAACAAAUCUGUUUUAUUCUACUUUUUAAAAAGACCAUAUUUUUGUGUGUUUGUGGGCCAGAAGAUUGCAUCAAAUAUGCUGGUGCCUGAGUUUUGGAAUGUUAUGAGUCACCUGACACAAGAGUCGGGACCUAACUCUGGUCCUUUGGAAGAGCAGUGAGCACUCUUAACCCUUGAACUGUCUCUCCAGGUCCCAAUAGAAUUAUUUUAAAGCGAUUUUUGCUACAUAUAUAAUGUUACCAUUUAUUAAUGAUUAAAGUAAAAGUUCAUACUAAA